rnacentral:rRNA from 1 species
UACAGAGGGGGCAAGCGUUGUUCGGAAUUACUGGGCGUAAAGGGCGCGUAGGCGGCCUGCUAAGUCGAACGUGAAAUCCCUGGGCUCAACCCAGGAACUGCGUCCGAUACUGGUUGGCUUGAAUCCGGGAGAGGGACGUGGAAUUCCAGGUGUAGCGGUGAAAUGCGUAGAUAUCUGGAGGAACAUCGGUGGCGAAGGCGGCAUCCUGGACCGGUAUUGACGCUGAGGCGCGAAAGCCAGGGGAGCAAACGGG